rnacentral:rRNA from 1 species
CCUACGGGAGGCAGCAGUGAGGAAUAUUGGUCAAUGGGCGCGAGCCUGAACCAGCCAAGUCGCGUGAAGGAUGACUGCCCUACGGGUUGUAAACUUCUUUUAUAGAGGAAUAAAGUGAGGCACGUGUGCCUCUUUGUAUGUACUUUAUGAAUAAGGAUCGGCUAACUCCGUGCCAGCAGCCGCGGUAAUACGGAGGAUCCGAGCGUUAUCCGGAUUUAUUGGGUUUAAAGGGAGCGUAGAUGGGUUGUUAAGUCAGUUGUGAAAGUUUGCGGCUCAACCGUAAAAUUGCAAUUGAUACUGGCAGUCUUGAGUGCGGUUGAGGUAGGCGGAAUUCGUGGUGUAGCGGUGAAAUGCUUAGAUAUCACGAAGAACUCCGAUUGCGAAGGCAGCUUACUAAGCUACAACUGACACUGAUGCUCGAAAGUGUGGGUAUCAAACAGGAUUAGAUACCCUGGUAGUC